rnacentral:rRNA from 1 species
AUUGAACGCUGGCGGCAGGCCUAACACAUGCAAGUCGAGCGGAGCGGCGGACGGGUGAGUAAUGCCUAGGAAUCUGCCUGGUAGUGGGGGAUAACGUCCGGAAACGGGCGCUAAUACCGCAUACUAUCAGAUGAGCCUAGGUCGGAUGAGCUAGUUGGUGGGGUAAAGGCCUACCAAGGCGACGAUCCGUAACUGGUCUGAGAGGAUGAUCAGUCACCCGGGAACUGAGACAGGGCCCACACUCCUACGGGAGGCAGCAGGGGGAAAUAUUGGACAAUGGGCGAAUGCCUGAUCCAGCCAUGCCGGGUGUGAGAAGAAGGUUCUCGGAUUGUAAAGCACUUUAAGUUGGGAGGCGUUACCAACAGAAUAAGCACCGGCUAACUUCGUGCCAGCAGCCGCGGUAAAC